rnacentral:rRNA from 1 species
AUUGAACGCUGGCGGUAUGCUUAACACAUGCAAGUCGAACGGUAGCAGGCCUUCGGGCGCUGACGAGUGGCGGACGGGUGAGUAACGCGUAGGAAUCUGCCUCAUAGUGGGGGACAGCGUGGGGAAACUCAAGCGAAUACCGCAUACGCGCUGCGGGGGAAAGCGGGGGAACUUCGGACGUCGCGCUAUGAGAUGAGCCUGCGUUAGAUUAGCUUGUUGGUAGGGUAAAGGCCUACCAAGGCGACGAUCUAUAGCUGGUCUGAGAGGACGAGCAGCCACACUGGGACUGAGACACGGCCCAGACUCCUACGGGAGGCAGCAGUGGGGAAUAUUGGACAAUGGGCGCAAGCCUGAUCCAGCAAUACCGCGUGUGUGAAGAAGGCCCUGGGGUUGUAAAGCACUUUCAAUAGGGAGGGAAAACUGUCGGUCAAUACCCGGCAGCUUGACAUUACCUAUACAAGAAGCACCGGCUAACUCCGUGCCAGCCGCCGCGGUAAGAC